rnacentral:misc_RNA from 1 species
UCCGGCUUGACGCCGGCAGUCCCCCGAGAGUCCUCAGCUUCACCUGUUAGUAACACGGGGCAAGGGUUGCGCUCGUUGCGGGACUUAACCCAACAUCUCACGACACGAGCUGACGACAGCCAUGCAGCACCUGUGCACGGGUCCCGAAGGAGCGCCCGCUUUCACGGGUUUCACCCUGCAUGUCAAGCCCAGGUAAGGUUCUUCGCGUUGCAUCGAAUUAAGCCGCAUGCUCCGCCGCUUGUGCGGGUCCCCGUCAAUUCCUUUGAGUUUUAGCCUUGCGGCCGUACUCCCCAGGCGGAGUGCUUAAUGCGUUAGCUGCGGCACAGAGAGGGUUGAAGACCUCCCCACACCUAGCACUCAACGUUUACGGCUGGGACUAC